rnacentral:rRNA from 1 species
UACAGAGGGGGCAAGCGUUGUUCGGAAUUACUGGGCGUAAAGGGCGCGUAGGCGGCCUUCUAAGUCGAACGUGAAAUCCCCGGGCUCAACCCGGGAACUGCGUCCGAUACUGGAAGGCUUGAAUCCGGGAGAGGGAUGCGGAAUUCCCGGUGUAGUGGUGAAAUGCGUAGAGAUCGGGAGGAACACCCGUGGCGAAGGCGGCUCACUGGGCUGACCUUGACGCUGAGGCGCGAAGGCGUGGGGAGCGAACGGG